GAUGAACGCUGGCGGCGUGCCUAAUACAUGCAAGUCGAGCGAACAGACGAGGAGUUUGCUCCUCUGACGUUAGCGGCGGACGGGUGAGUAACACGUGGAUAACCUACCUAUAAGACUGGGAUAACUUCGGGAAACCGGAGCUAAUACCGGAUAAUAUAUUGAACCGCAUGGUUCAAUAGUGAAAGACGGUUUUGCUGUCACUUAUAGAUGGAUCCGCGCCGCAUUAGCUACUUGGUAAGGUAACGGCGUACCAAGGCAACGACGCGUAGCCGACCUGAGAGAGUGAUCGUCCGCACUAGAACUAGAAAACGGACCAGACUCCUACAGGAGGCAGCAGUAGGGAAUCUUCCGCAAUGGGCGAAAGCUUGACGGAGCAACGCCGCGUGAGUGAUGAAGGUCUUCGGAUCGUAAAACUCUGUUAUUAGGGAAGAACAAAUGUGUAAGUAACUAUGCACGUCUUGACGGCGCCUAAUCAGAAAGCCACGGCUAACAACGUG
rnacentral:rRNA from 1 species